ACAAUGGGGGCCCAAGGUGAGAUGAAGCUGUAAUCUCACUGGAAGGACUAGAGGUUAGAGGAGACCCCCCCGAAAUAAAAAACAGCAUAUUGACGCUGGGAAAGACCAGAGAUCCUGCUGUCUCCUCAGCAUCAUUCCAGGCACAGAACGCCAGAAAAUGGAAUGGUGCUGUUGAAUCAACAGGUUCU
rnacentral:lncRNA from 1 species